UUAGUGGCGCACGGGUGAGUAACGCGUGGGAACGUACCCUUUGGUUCGGGAUAACGUCUGGAAACGGACGCUAAUACCGGAUGAGCCCUUCGGGGGAAAGAUUUAUCGCCAAAGGAGCGGCCCGCGUCUGAUUAGCUAGUUGGUGGGGUAAUGGCCCACCAAGGCGACGAUCAGUAGCUGGUCUGAGAGGAUGAUCAGCCACACUGGGACUGAGACACGGCCCAGACUCCUACGGGAGGCAGCAGUGGGGAAUAUUGGACAAUGGGGGCAACCCUGAUCCAGCCAUGCCGCGUGAGUGAUGAAGGCCUUCGGGUUGUAAAGCUCUUUCGCACGCGACGAUGAUGACGGUAGCGUGAGAAGAAGCCCCGGCUAACUUCGUGCCAGCAGCCGCGGUAAUACGAAGGGGGCUAGCGUUGUUCGGAAUUACUGGGCGUAAAGGGCGCGUAGGCGGCGCAUCAAGUCAGAUGUGAAAGCCCCGGGCUUAACCUGGGAACAGCAUU
rnacentral:rRNA from 1 species